rnacentral:rRNA from 1 species
GACGUAGGGUCCGAGCGUUGUCCGGAAUUACUGGGCGUAAAGAGCUCGUAGGCGGUUUGUCGCGUCUGCUGUGAAAACUCGGGGCUUAACUCCGGGCCUGCAGUGGGUACGGGCAGACUAGAGUGCGGUAGGGGAGACUGGAAUUCCUGGUGUAGCGGUGGAAUGCGUAGAUAUCAGGAGGAACACCGAUGGCGAAGGCAGCACUCUGGCCGGUAACUGACGCUGAGGCGCGAAAGCUGGGGGGAGCGAACGGG